UGCAGUCGAGGGGCAGCGAAUCUAGCUUGCUAGAUGUCGGCGACCGGCGCACGGGUGCGCACCGCGUAUGGAACCUACCUUGUACAGGGGAAUAGCCCAGGGAAACUUGGAUUAAUGCCCCGUAGUACUGUUAUUCGGCAUCGUUUAACAGUUAAAGAUUUCGGUCGGUACAAGAUGGCCAUGCGUCCCAUUAGCUUGUUGGUAAGGUAACGGCUUACCAAGGCUACGAUGGGUAGGGGCCCUGAGAGGGGGAUCCCCCACACUGGUACUGAGACACGGACCAGACUCCUACGGGAGGCAGCAGUGAGGAAUAUUGGACAAUGGAGGAGACUCUGAUCCAGCCAUGCCGCGUGCAGGAAGAAUGCCCUAUGGGUAGUAAACUGCUUUUAUACGGGAAGAAAAAAGAGUACGUGUACUCUACUGACGGUACCGUAAGAAUAAGGACCGGCUAACUCCGUGCCAGCAGCCGCGGUAAUACGGAGGGUCCGAGCGUUAUCCGGAAUUAUUGGGUUUAAAGGGUCCGUAGGCGGGCCGAUAAGUCAGGGGUGAAAGUUUGCAGCUCAACUGUAAAAUUGCCUUUGAUACUGUUGGUCUUGAGUUAUAGUGAAGUUGCCGGAAUAUGUAGUGUAGCGGUGAAAUGCAUAGAUAUUACAUAGAACACCGAUUGCGAAGGCAGGUGACUAACUAUAUACUGACGCUGAUGGACGAAAGCGUGGGGAGCGAACAGGAUUAGAUACCCUGGUAGUCCACGCCGUAAACGAUGGAUACUAGCUGUCCGAGGCCUUGAGUCUUGGGCGGCCAAGCGAAAGUGAUAAGUAUCCCACCUGGGGAGUACGUUCGCAAGAAUGAAACUCAAAGGAAUUGACGGGGGCCCGCACAAGCGGUGGAGCAUGUGGUUUAAUUCGAUGAUACGCGAGGAACCUUACCAGGGCUUAAAUGCAUAUUGACAGGUCUAGAGAUAGAUUUUCCUUCGGGCAAUUUGCAAGGUGCUGCAUGGUUGUCGUCAGCUCGUGCCGUGAGGUGUCAGGUUAAGUCCUAUAACGAGCGCAACCCCUACCGUUAGUUGCCAGCAUGUCAUGAUGGGGACUCUAACGGGACUGCCGGUGCAAACCGUGAGGAAGGUGGGG
rnacentral:rRNA from 1 species